rnacentral:rRNA from 1 species
UACGAAGGGGGCUAGCGUUGUUCGGAAUCACUGGGCGUAAAGCGCAUGCAGGCGGGUCGUUAAGUUAGGGGUGAAAUCCCGAGGCUCAACCUCGGAACUGCCUCUGAUACUGGCGAUCUUGAGUCCGGGAGAGGUGAGUGGAACUGCGAGUGUAGAGGUGAAAUUCGUAGAUAUGCGGAAGAACACCAGUGGCGAAGGCGACUCGCUGGACAAGUAUUGACGCUGAGGUGCGAAAGCGUGGGGAGCAAACAGG